GUAGAAAGGAUGCGUUGCUACUGGGAGCUCAAACAUGUCCAACUACAGACUCUGGAGCAGUUUAGAGAAAAGGAUGGGAAGGAGAAAUCUAAAGUGUACCAAAAGGGGUUGAAAACCCAGAAGAAAAAGAAACCACUGGAUGCAUCAGACUUAGUCCAGGCUGGGUUUGAAGAAGUGCAGAAGCUCAACCAACAGAACAAUCAGCUUUCUCAAUGUACGGCAGAGACUGCGCAUCUGGAUCUUAUUGAAGAGGAGCAAGAAGUAGACAAAUAUAGGGAAAGAAAGGAUGACAAACAACAGGCUACAGUGGAAGAAGAGGCAAGAGAGCAAGAAAUUGUUGCUGAAUUAUUUCAGAUAAAAGAGGAGGAUAAAAAGGAGGAAGAGGGAACGUUAACGACAGAGGGGGCU
rnacentral:lncRNA from 1 species